AAAAAUCAUGGAAGAAAAGGGGAUUAACCGACUCCUCUAGGCUUAGUUAGCCUCCACAAUAAACACAGGUGGAUCUCACCUGGAUGAUACUCUGCAUCACUGCCGUUGCCACAGGCACCUACAAGCUGCACACGGAAGAGAUCCAGGUCGGUCAUUAGGAAAUUCUCCCAGCGAAACUCUCUGGCUCUACGUUGGAACAACCAGAAGCUCAGGGAGGUUGGUCCCUUCCAGUUUGCCUGAUGGCGCCCAGGACGGAGCAGCAUCAGGUCUGAAUAGAUGGAUUCCGGCCCCGGCGUCUUGUUCCUCACAGGUAAAAGGAUGAAAUACCUCUUCCCACAUGGCACGCAACAAAUGAGGUGACGGCGUGUCUCCUGCACUUCCGCACGUUUUAGCAACAACAAUGUAUAGGAUGGGUCGUACCCUGCACGGUGGGUUGUAGUUUUAACUGGCUGUGUAGGCUGUACGCUUCCUUAAUGUGGCUCAAUGCCCCACGCUUAGGGGCGGGUAUCCAAAUCUGUAAAUGGGCCAACACAGACCUGUACACUACAGCAUGUCCGAGAGAAAAUACAAAUAUAAAAAAUAACUUUUCUAAACCUA